rnacentral:rRNA from 1 species
AUGGAAGAAAAGCUCUCUUCUAUGCGACAAGAUGUCAUUCAGGAAUUUGUGGCGCUUUAUCAAAGAGUAGGGCCUUAUCUACCGAUCGAGCCCUACUUGGUCGAUGAAGCGCUUCGUUCCUAUCUGGACCAUAUUCACGCAACUGAUUCUUUCACUGUUCUCCAAGCGUCUUAUCAAGAUCUGCGGGAGAAUGAGGGAGGAUCUGUUUUCUUUCGAAAUGUUGUUUCCCACAACCGGGAUCUCCUUGAGGCGGAAAGCUCCGCAAGGAGGUGCCUCGAAGUGGAACAGAGGAUCCGGUGGGAAGAAAUCCCCAAGAGCAAGGCAAGUCUCGAAAGAUCUGAGCACGAGCAUGCUCUCGACUUGUUUAAGUCGGAGGAUCUUAGAAGGGAAUUAGAAAAAAAAGCGGGGUAG